rnacentral:rRNA from 1 species
UCCCGACAGUCCAAGUCGUAGCCACAAUUAUUGGGUCUAAAACAUCCGUAGCUUGUUUUGUAAGUCUCUUGUGAAAUUCUGUCUCUUAAGGGCAGAGCGAGCAAGAGAUACUGCAAAGCUAGAGACUGGGGGAUGUGAAGAGUACAGUUGAAGUAGUAGUAAAAUACGUUGAUCUUAACUGGACUAACAAGAGCGAAGGCACUUCACAACAACAGCUCUGACAGUAAGGGAUGAAGGCUAGGGGCGCAAAAUG